CUCCACAAGCCAUAUAUAUACUUCUAAUUGUUGGAGAAGAAGCAGAUAAGUAUUGUUGGACAGAUGAAGUGUGCACAUGAAGAAAUCCAAACAAAAGGUUAAUUUUUUUUGUAAGAUUUGUUUUCUUUUUAGAUGAAAAUUGUAAUAUGCUUUUCUCAGUGUUGCCUCUGGCCUUAAUAAUACUGUUUUGGAGAAGUCUUAUUGUGUAAAAUUUACUUGGGGCAUAA
rnacentral:misc_RNA from 1 species